rnacentral:rRNA from 1 species
AUGGCCGCGAAAUCUUGGAACCCAUUCUCGUGCUGCGUCGGCGGCGCCAGAGUGGCGGAUGACGACGACGACUGCAAGAGGCGGAUCAGGCGGAGCGUGAAAGGCUGCCCGAGGUCGUCCUCGAGGAUGUCGUUCAAGAGCCUGACCUCGUCGGGGACGCUGUCGCCGGAGGACCUGUCCAUCACGCUGUCCGGCUCCAACCUGUACGCCUUCACCUACGCCGAGCUCCGCAAGGCGACCGGGAGCUUCUCGCGCGCCAACUACCUCGGCUGCGGUGGCUUCGGCCCGGUCUAUAAGGGCGCCGUCGACGACAAGCUUCGCCCCGGGCUGGCCGCGCAGCUGGUCGCCGUCAAGUACCUCGACCUGGACUGCGGCACGCAGGGCCACAAGGAGUGGCUGGCAGAGGUUUUCUUCCUUGGGCAACUGAGGCACAAGAACCUGGUGAAACUGAUCGGGUACUGCUACGAGGACGAGCACCGGAUGCUGGUCUACGAGUUCAUGAGCGGCGAGAGCCUGGAGAAGCACCUCUUCAAGAGCAUAAGUGGCUCUCUCCCGUGGAUGACAAGGAUGAAGAUCGCUGUUGGCGCGGCCAAGGGCCUUGCCAUUCUCCACGACGCAGACCCGCCGGUGAUAUACCGUGACUUCAAGGCCUCCAACAUCUUGCUCGACUCGGAUUACAACACCAAGUUGUCCGACUUUGGGCUGGCCCAGGAUGGGCCCCAGGGCGACGAGACACACGUGACAACACGUGUCAUGGGGGCGCAUGGUUAUGCGGCUCCAGAAUACAUCAUGACGGGGGCCUCUUGA